UUGAUGUUGGAGUUCUUAGUGCAUUAACACGAAAAGCUGAAAAUGCCGUGAACUUUACUCAAGACUCUUUUAGCGUGAUCUAAAAUAAGGGAUGUAGAGAAAUCCAGGGGUCUUUGGAGCUGUUUUUUAUGUGCACACAUACGCACACACACACAUUCAAAAGACAGAGGAGAGCUGGACCUGAGCCGAGGAGUCACAGGUUAAAACAGUGGUGAAGGGUCUGCUAACAUGCCUGGUUCCAGGGGAUGAAUGGUGGGUGUAGGGUCACCUCUGAACGGGUCAUACUUCAAAUGGGAUCACAGCCCCACUCCAUCUGACACCGACAUCCAGCCUCCGCCUUUUGCCAUGAGAGGUGACGGUUAAAUGUUUUAGCAUCCAGGUCAGCGCACGGUCAUCUGCUGACCCGCCAGUGAAGGCUUAAGUUAUCUGAAGCGCUCUUCUUGAUAAAUGACCACUCAGUGCAAGGAGCUGUAACCUUGCUCUGCUUAUCAGCUGAGGUCCCACACCAGUGCAGUCAGGGAUGUUUUUUUCUGUCACUUAGAAAUAUAACAGAUACAUUUUUGUUAUCAUAACAGCAACAAACUUUUUCUCUUUAUUUUAAAAGGUUUAUCCCUUCCAAAUCAUGCUGAACAAACUCUUUGAUGGUGUUAGUUUUUCUGCAUUGGCUUAUCAGAAAGGGCUUUUUAGUACUUCAAUUGCAGUCAUUCACUUCUCCACUCUAUUCCCAAAGACCCUUGAGGUAACAGUUUGUAGUUAUUAGAUGCUAAACAAUUACAGUUUUACAUCAAAGAACCUUUUUUUUUUUUUUAUCCUCCUACCACCAACGCAAAUGUGUACUCUGUAGAGGAGAUUUCUAAACUUCAAUAUCUCCCAACUACUCUAUACUACUGAUUUCACACAUUGUUUUACCUACAGAGGACUUCUGAGGCUUUUCCAUGAUGCCACAUGUGAAGGGGUGGGGCUCUGGGAGUUGAAGUUUUUGGUAAAUUUAAUAAAAAAGUGACAGUACACUUUUUUUCUCUAGUAGUCAGGAUGAUAUAUCAUAUGGAAAGUGAGGAUUUAAUUCCCAAAAGCAGCAGUUCAAAACUCCUCUGCACAUCCUGAUUGGACCCAACUGCCAGCACUCAUCUCAUCAGCAACAGUCAGCUAUGUAGGAGGGGCCUGCUCCAGCAUUCAUCACCUGUUCGUUACCUUACCUGGAUUUACAUACCACGUGCUGCUGGGUCCAACUUCUCUCACCACUGCCAAGAGCUCCAUCAUCUGCCUCACUACAAUACUACGCCAUCAUCACCCAACUCACCUCCUGAAUCUUCGCUCCGAUGUCCGGACACGUUCUUGUUCCCGUCUGCCUUUUCCUGCUGCCACUCCGCUCCUUCUUCAGUGCCCAAACUCUCAACGGAUAUCCAUCAUUGUGGGAAUGUGUGCGUUCAUGGAUGAAUCGGACUGUGAGGCACUUUGUGUCAGAUUCCGGCCCCACCUCCCCCUGCCACUAUUAACUGAUUCUGAACAUUUGGGUGCUCUCCUGUUUAAGACUGCCAAACUCUGUAGCAGAUUGUGGUCAUUUUCACCUUGUUAUCCAGGGUACCUGUCUCACCUGAGUUCUGCCUCGUCUCGACCCCACUCUCGUCUUGGACCUCCAUACCUCCAUUCCUGCUUUAGACCUGUUUUGACCUCUGUGCUUCCAACCUGUAAUCAUUUGCUUUUUUUUACCUGCUCCUCUUGAUUCCUCCGCUUCUCUGAAACUGUUCCUAUUUACGUUCUUGUGGAUUACAGAACUUCUCCUUUGGAUUAUUGCAUCUAGCGUUGAGUUUCCCUCCGCUACCUUAUCCUGUAUUUACUCAGCGAUUGACUCUGACUCUUUUUUUCAGAGAACACUCAGACGCCCCCUAGUGUUUGGAGGACUUCACUGCCUGCCAUAAUAAACUGCUUAAAACUC